CAAGCAGAUUGAGUAAUACUUUAAUUCAGAAACACGUUGCUCAACGUGUCUUCUGAGCACAAGCCUGAGAACGGGGGCCGGCAGAACACCGGCAGCCCACGGCCGGCCGGCCGGCCACGGUCCUGCUUCUCGGCUGACUCCGAGAAGCCAGACUCGCAGCAUUAUUAAUAAUUUGGAAAGGUCACAGGGAAUUCUCUCACUACCCAUAGAGGGACUGCUGAAGCAUCUGAAAGCACCUGAUUCACUUAAAACAACAAGAUAAAAACUGAGCUGUUAUAACAUGUCUAAAACUCGACGGAGCUCACGAAGCACAUGCAGUGGGCAUUGAACAUAUACUGGUGGGCUGCCGUCUAUGGGGUCGCACAGAGUCGGACACAACUGAAGCGACUUAGCAGCAGCAGCAGCAUCCAGCGAACAGGUUCCUGCUUUCAGGUUCACUAAUUCCUCCUCCUGUGUAGAUUCAUAGAUAACAUCCAUAAGAUCUGGAAACUUCAGAGCAAAUUGAGAAUAGCACUUGGUAGAGUGGAGACCAGGAAGCUAAAACUGGAAAACGCCCCACAGAUGAUUCCAACGCUAACAGAAAGGUGGUUUUUUUUUUGUUUGUUGUUUGCUUGGAGAUUUUAGAAGAAUGUAUUAUUUUACAAGAAUGUAUGCAGAUUUUACUUGAAUAAUUAAAAAUACAAAUAAGAACACUGCAAAGAGAACACCCCAGGUUUCCUUGACCAUCUGCCGCCCGCGGGGCUGACCUUCCAGGUCCCAGGAACAGAGAGCAGAGCGGUGAGUCGCAGGGGGUCUGCGGGGCGCCGGGCAAGAGGAAACGGGGGGUGCAGGGAGGUGGGGGCGACUCCCGCUGCUUUCUGAGGGCGCCUUGCUCUCAUUUUCUGCCUCCCCCACCCACGGAUUUCCCCAGUGUGCAGAGACGGCAGGUCUUUUUAAGUCGGUGAGAGAGAGAGAGAGAAAGGGAGGGACCACGUGACUUUCUGGAACGCAGACUCACUUCUUGAUUUUGAUCCUCACUGGCGCGCUGGCUCCAAAAUGUCUUGCCCGAAAUCGGAAAAGGUCCUGCCCUCCUGGAAAGGCUCCCGUCUUCAGUUCACACGAACCGACCCUUUGAUCCUCCCUCAUUUUGCUCUUAAGAUUUGCUUCUCUUCCCAAUCGAAUAAUCUGUCUCUCUCUCCUUAUGAGAAAAGCUUUCUAGAUGUGAUUCCCCUUUGGAAGGGAAGACUUUAAAGUCCUCCUUGGGCGCAUCCUUUCUGGAAGGGAGAGGGUGGAAAGAGGCCACGGGGCCAAGAGCGCUUUCGGAGUUCCUCCCCAAGCACCCCGCCUUCCCGCCCCGAGUCUCGGCUUGAACCCCCGGCCGCUGGGAGGCAUCGCGGCGCAGCGCGGUGGCUCGGGGCACCCCCUGCCCCCGGGCAGCGCCCGGACUUCAGUCUUUGGAGCCUGGGGCCCCGUGAAUGUGGAGGUGGGUGGGCAAAGCAGAAAGCAAGUCUGUUUGCUUCUGAGUAAAGCCGGCUUCCGUGGGAGAGAGACAGGCUCUGAGUUAGCAAGAAUUCUGCCAUUUAUCUCGUCCUCCUCGCCUAGGAUUUCAAGGCAGGAACUGCCCAAAUCCAGGGUGCCCAUUUCCCGGGGGCUCGGUUGCAGACUUCCGGGGUUUGUGUACUGGUCCCUUACUCUUCUCUGCAGCAUCUUGCCGACGGGGCCAGGUCGCGGCACCUGCCCCGCAGUGGCCAAAAGCACCUAGAACAGUUCAAGCCUCUCGGUGAGAAAUGAGAUGUUUGUACAUGAAGUGACCUUUAAUUGUGUCUGAGGAACUCAUGUCAGAUCAACAUGUGGUCUCAGUUACUCUGCAGAGGCUAUUACAUUUCAAGCUGUUUUGUGUUCCUUUUCAGCAUUUAAAUAAAGUAUUUUCUCUUUCAUA